rnacentral:rRNA from 1 species
UUUAGUCACCCUGACCAUGCCCAAUCCCAUCUGAUCUCAGAAGCUAAGCGGGGUCGGGCCUGGUUAGUACUUGGAUGGGAGACCACCUAGGAAGACCAGGUGCUGUAC